AUGGACGAAAGUCUGACCGAGCAACGCCGCGUGAGUGAAGAAGGUUUUCGGAUCGUAAAGCUCUGUUGUAAGUCAAGAACGUGUGUGAGAGUGGAAAGUUCACACAGUGACGGUAGCUUACCAGAAAGGGACGGCUAACUACGUGCCAGCAGCCGCGGUAAUACGUAGGUCCCGAGCGUUGUCCGGAUUUAUUGGGCGUAAGGGGAGCGCAGGCGGUCAGGAAAGUCUGGAGUAAAAGGCUAUGGCUCAACCAUAGUGUGCUCUGGAAACUGUCUGUCUUGAGUGCAGAAGGGGAGAGUGGAAUUCCAUGUGUAGCGGUGAAAUGCGUAGAUAUAUGGAGGAACACCAGUGGCGAAAGCGGCUCUCUGGUCUGUCACUGACGCUGAGGCUCGAAAGCGUGGGUAGCGAACAGGAUUAGAUACCCUGGUAGUCCACGCCGUAAACGAUGAGUGCUAGGUGUUAGGCCCUUUCCGGGGCUUAGUGCCGGAGCUAACGCAAUAAGCACUCCGCCUGGGGAGUACGACCGCAAGGUUGAAACUCAAAGGAAUUGACGGGGGCCCGCACAAGCGGUGGAGCAUGUGGUUUAAUUCGAAGCAACGCGAAGAACCUUACCAGGUCUUAACAUCCCGAUGCUAUUCUGAGAGAUCGGAAGUGACUGCGGUACAUCGGAGACAGGUGGUGCAUGG
rnacentral:rRNA from 1 species